rnacentral:rRNA from 1 species
ACGGCUCAGUAACACGUGGCUAACCUACCCUUGAGACGGAGACAUCCCCGGGAAACUGGGGCUAAUCCCAGAUAGAUGAGAACUCCUGGAAUGGGUUCUCGUCCAAAAGGCAUUGAGAUCAUGCUUCUUGAUGUCGCUCAAGGAUGGGGCCGCGGCCGAUCAGGCUGUUGGUGAGGUAACGGCUCACCAAACCUAUAACCGGUACGGGCCGUGGGAGCGGGAGCCCGGAGAUGGGAACUGAGACAAGGUCCCAGGCCCUACGGGGCGCAGCAGUUGCGAAAACUCCGCAAUGCACGAAAGUGUGACGGGGCUACCCCGAGUGCUGUCCGCUGAGGAUGGCUUUUCCCUGGUGUAAGGAGCCGGGGGAAUAAGGAGAGGGCAAGUCUGGUGUCAGCCGCCGCGGUAAUACCAGCUCUCCGAGUGGUAGGGAUGUUUAUUGGGCUUAAAGCGUCCGUAGCUGGCUUUUUAAGUCUCUCGUUAAAUCCAGCGAUUCAAUCGUUGGACUGCGGGGGAUACUGCUAGGCUUGGGGGCGGGAGAAGCCGACGGUAUUUCCGGUGUAGGGGUAAAAUCCUAUAAUCCCGGGAGGACCACCAGUGGCGUAGGCGGUCGGCUAGCACGCGCCCGACGGUGAGGGACGAAAGCUGGGGGAGCAAACCGGAUUAGAUACCCGGAUAGUCCCAGCUGUAAACGAUGCGAGCUAGGUGUUGAAGCGGUCACGAGCCGCUUCAGUGCCGCAGGGAAGCCAUUAAGCUCGCCGCCUGGGGAGUACGGCCGCAAGGCUGAAACUUAAAGGAAUUGGCGGGGGAG